rnacentral:rRNA from 9 species
CACCGCCCGUCACGCUAUAGGAGUUGGCCAUGUUUGAAGUCAUUACCCUUAACCGUAAGUAGGGGGAUGCAUAAGGCUGGGCUUGCAACUGGAGUGAAGUCGUAACAAGGUAGCCGUACUGGAAGGUGCAGCUG